ACCCGAGGCGCUGCAGCACAGGCGUACCCGGUCGGGAUGGUAGUUUGCUCUUCAGGUGGCACGCUGCCUGUCCCUCCCACUUCCUCCUCUGGGUUAUCACCUUGCUAGCCUCCUCACCUGGGAUGUUACCGUCCUGUCUUCUUGCUCUUCCCCAACUCAGAACUUCCAUCAUCCUUGUUUCCGCUGCUUAAAAAAAAUUACCAUCCUGCAUUCUCUCACCCCUCCUCCUCUUCGAACCCUCUGGACUACCCAUCUGUUCCCGGUUAUCCACAUCCAGUGGGUAUGGAUAACCUACCUGCUCUAUCUACAAUCACCUUUCCUUCGCUUUUCCCUGCGUCCUUCAGCUUGUCACCCUCGUCUCCCCUUCUCUACCCCAUUUCCAGUACCUCGUGCGCAUUUGUGGGUACUCUUUGUGUUGUUGGCCGCUUUCUGGAUGAGCUAAUUUAUCUUUUGUGCUGUUCAGUCUUAUUACCAAAUAUCAUCAUCCACCGUAUGGUUUUUCCCUUCAGCUCUUUUUGUCGGUAGACAACGGUUAUGAUCAUAAGUUUUCCAAUGUCGUCCAGUCUGUUUCUUUUUAAGUAUAUUUGCUAUAGUGUUUUCUGUGUUCCUUCCCUCUUAAUUUCUGUUAAAGCUUUUGCCUCCAGAGUUAACGCAGCAUUUUCUCUGUAGGGCUAACUAACCAACCCUUAUAAUCCAAUGACGGAGGGCUCAGGAGGCUGUAGGAAGUCACCAAGUCAUGUAGUCCAAAGAGUUAACAUGUCAUUUAUUGGGUUACAUGUUAAAAAAAUGUGAGUAUGAGCCCUGGCAACUUAACAGCUCUGUGAUUUGAGACAAAUCUCUUAACCUCUCCAAACCUCGGUUUUCUCAUCUGUAAAAUAGAAAAAAAAAAAAAAAGUUGAUAAAUAAACCUGCUUUAGGUACAUACCUUGCAGAAGUUUUUGGAGGGUUAAAUGAAGUCGUAUAGUAAAUGUGAAAAAGAAUUGAAAAUGAAUUUCCUAAAAAGAAUUUAGGAAACAAUAAGGCAGUAUAUAAGAUACUGUUUUGAUUUCUGACUCAUAUUGCCAUCAUGAUGUUCCUCUUGGCAUUUAUUAUUACCUUGGCCCAAAAGUUAUCCUCUCCCUAUGUCCGUUAUUUUGCCUCCUUAUCAGAGGUUCAUUCAUGGUGAGAAGCUUUGUGCUUGCUGAUCAGCUUUGUGCUUGCUGAUCUGUGCACUAGACCUGGUGGGUUGUAUCGUUUGACAAAGAGGUAGUUCUGAUUUCAAACUUUCAAUGAGACCCCAAAUUGACCUGAGUAGGAAUCUACAUGCUCUUUGAUGGUAGUCCCAGGUACUAAUAUGGGUGAGUCAGCUGAGACCUCUCCUUCUUUGGUGAGCCCUCCUUGACCCUUCCAUUCUGGCUUAGGUGUGUUCUGUGUGUACUUCCGUAGCGCCUGUGCUUGACUCUGUCACAGAGCUCUUCCUUCUGCAUUCUCACUGAUUGGUUUUCCAUUUUUCCAGACUAGACUAGGAAAAACGUGAGGUCUUUUUAAACUUUAUAUUCCUAGAGUCUAGCACAGUUUCUGGUACAUAGUGGGGGCCCUGCAGAUGUUGAUCAAAAGAAAUUAGUAGAUUACAGCUAAUCAUAUACAUUAACAUUGGUUGAACUGUUAAAUAAGGUAAAAUAGCUCAUGACCUCCAACUUCAGGCAUUAAGCCUUCCUAAAUGAUGUGAUACAUCGACCCAAGCUGCUGCAGUGACAAUGCUGGGUCCUUAACCUGCUGUGCCACAGGGGAACUCCCAAGGUUUUUAAAAGACCUUUCUUCUCUUACCUGACUGUAUUUUCUACCUUCACUUCUGGUUUAACCUUUAUCCCUAUGUCUGUUAACUGCACCGAGCAAUUUCUUAAUUUUCCUCUUUUAUCCUUUUUCUCAUUGUCAUUCUGUGUUUUCCAUGCUUAUUAUUGUCAUCUUAUCGUACAAGAGGCUUUUUACAUCAGCCACUCUUUGUGAAGAGGGCAGAAAUAAGUUUGAAUCCUAAUGUGCAUUUACUUGCUGGGUUACCCCUGGCGCAUCACUUAACUCUUUUGAGCUUUAGUUUCCUCAUCUAUAAAAACGGGUAUAAUGUUACUUUGCGAGAUCCUGUCACUUAAUUUUCACGAGAAUGGGCAUAAUGUCUGGAACAAAAUAGAUGUUUGACAAGUAGUACUGUUCUUUUUGUCUGUGUAUAAUCUUUCUUGUUUACCAGAACCCAUUUUACAUUAUGAGCAUGAUUUAUUCUCUAGGCUGCCAUUAAUGGAAAAACUGGACUUCAUAGGAAGCAGGAGAAAUGCUUUCUUUGAGUGAUUGUUCCCCGACCAGGGAUUGAACCUGGGCUGCAGCAGUGAAAAUGCCAAGUCCUAACCACUAGACCACCAGGGUACUCUUUGUUAAACUUAUUUUUAUUCAGAUAUACUUUAUUGUUACCUUCCUAACCUGCAAGUAUUAGGUCUUAGAUUCCCA